GGAAUUACUGGGNGUAAAGCGGGCGCAGACGGUUANUUAAGCAGGAUGUGAAAUCCCCGGGCUCAACCUGGGAACUGCGUUNUGAACUGGGUGACUAGAGUGUGUCAGAGGGAGGUAGAAUNCCACGUGUAGCAGUGAAAUGCGUAGAGAUGUGGAGGAAUACCGAUGGCGAAGGCAGCCUCCUGGGAUAACACUGACGUUCAUGCCCGAAAGCGUGGGUAGCAAACAGGAUUAGAUACCCUGGUAGUCCACGCCCUAAACGAUGUCGAUUAGCUGUUGGGCAGCAUGACUGCUUAGUGGCGAAGCUAACGCGUGAAAUCGACCGCCUGGGGAGUACGGUCGCAAGAUUAAAACUCAAAGGAAUUGACGGGGACCCGCACAAGCGGUGGAUGAUGUGGAUUAAUUCGAUGCAACGCGAAGAACCUUACCUGGUCUUGACAUGUACGGAACCCUCCAGAGACGGAGGGGUGCCUUCGGGAGCCGUAACACAGGUGCUGCAUGGCUGUCGUCAGCUCGUGUCGUGAGAUGUUGGGUUAAGUCCCGCAACGAGCGCAACCCUUGUCAUUAGUUGCCAUCAUUAAGUUGGGCACUCUAAUGAGACUGCCGGUGACAAGCCGGAGGAAGGUGGGGAUGACGUCAAGUCCUCAUGGCCCUUAUGACCAGGGCUUCACACGUCAUACAAUGGUCGGUACAGAGGGUAGCCAAGCCGCGAGGUGGAGCCAAUCUCACAAAACCGAUCGUAGUCCGGAUUGCACUCUGCAACUCGAGUGCAUGAAGUCGGAAUCGCUAGUAAUCGCAGGUCAGCAUACUGCGGUGAACACGUUCCCGGGUCUUGUACACACCGCCCGUCACACCAUGGGAGUGGGGGAUACCAG
rnacentral:rRNA from 1 species